UGUUGAUUCACUCCAGGGCAGGAUGAACACCCAGGCCCUGGCUGCAUCCCAAAUGGCACCCUAUUCUUCCUAUAAUGCAUGGGUCCUGGUCAAAAGUAGUGCACUGUAAAGGGAAUAGGGUGCCAUUUGGUACACAAACACUAUAACGCGAACAAACAACAAUCAGCAAUGUUUUAUCUGAUAAAAAAGGACUUAACAGACUUCUAUGCAGGAAUGUUAAAGCAGCUGCUUAGUAAAUCCUGUUUUAUAAACCAAGUCCUGCUGCGGGCUAAGUUUACUGAUAGAUGAAUGACAACGUCUACAUUUUGUGUUCAAUGAACCGUGGAAAAAUAGUUUCUGCCUUUAAUAAGUAUUUCUUUAACUUCUUUGAAACAGUUUAAAAAUCAGUAAGAAAGUUUUAAUCUACACCAUUAUAACUAAGCAGGAAGAGAAGCAGGAAGACAAAAAGGCAGGGAUUAGGAGAGGAAGUGUGGCCAGAAUUAAAUUAUUAUUAUCUCACAUGAAUCCCAACAGUCCAAACCGCAUUGGCCAUGGGGAUUUAUCUGUAUAGAGCAGUCAGUGGUUGAAAAGGAAUCCCUCUCUGCUCUUGAGUGGCUAUCCUUUUUACAGGUCAGGGUGAGAGCUGCAAUAGUGUGAGGCACCAAGGCAUCACAGAUCAAAAUCAAUAGGCCCCUAUAGGCCCCAGGCUAGGCCUAUUCAGCUAGCAGGGUGAGAGGGGACCUGGAUUGAGUGGGGGGCUGGACAUUCCAUAAAGGAGGAUGACAUCACAAUAGGGAGUUGGGAGUUGCUGGUUGGAGCACUGACCAUGAAAUAGAUGCCUCUCUCUGAUCACGGGAUCAACCCACUUCCUAGAGAAAACCUAACCACUCCAGUUCCUGGGAUUGUUCAAGAGGAGUGGGAUUCCACAGCUCUACCCCUGCCUCCAUUUCCAUAUCCACAGUCUGAGGAAGACUGGUUGGUCGAAACAUGUUGCUCUAUUGAAAGGGGGUUCAGAGUAAGUCUUCCUCAACAUCUUCAGUGUAACCAGUGAAGGCUUGCCAGAGUACUUACAACUGGUAUACCUGUAAGGCAAGAUGGCGCCGACAGACAUGGCAACUCUACUUCUAGCUCCUAAGCAACUUUGCAACUUUGUUACAUAACGUAUAAAGAGCAGGGACUGUCUCUGUGACACAGGCGUGUGGUGGGCACAGAGCAGCCAAUACAGAGCCAUCGCUGGAUGCUCAAUAGACCUCUGUUGCCACUGGAUACUAGGUUGGUUACCAAGCCAACACAUAUGCCUCCCUCACCACACCAACAUCUGAAUGUAUAAUACUCACACACACAUGCAUGCACAUA